GCCCACAUAAUGUAGUGGUAUCACAUCUCACUCAUAACAGACCUAGUACUAGCCGACUGAUGGCAGGAACGGCUCUGGCUUAGAUCUGGGAAGAGCGCUGGUUCAACUCCAGCUGUAGGCA
rnacentral:tRNA from 1 species